rnacentral:snRNA from 1 species
UUAAUUACCUGGAAGGGGAGAUACCACGAUCACGAAGGUGGUUUUCCCAGGGCGAGUCUUAUCCAUUGCACUGCAGAUGUGCUGACCCCUGCGAUGUCCCCUGCGAUUUCCACAAGUGCAUAAUUUGUGGUAGUGGGCGACCACAUUCAUGCUUU